rnacentral:rRNA from 1 species
CUACGGGGCUGCAGUGGGGAAUAUUGGACAAUGGGCGAAAGCCUGAUCCAGCCAUGCCGCGUGUGUGAAGAAGGCCUUCGGGUUGUAAAGCACUUUCAGUGGGGAAGAAAGCCUUGGGGCUAAUACCCUCGAGGAAGGACAUCACCCACAGAAGAAGCACCGGCUAACUCCGUGCCAGCAGCCGCGGUAAUACGGAGGGUGCGAGCGUUAAUCGGAAUUACUGGGCGUAAAGCGCGCGUAGGCGGUCUGAUAAGCCGGUUGUGAAAGCCCCGGGCUCAACCUGGGAACGGCAUCCGGAACUGUCAGGCUAGAGUGCAGGAGAGGAAGGUAGAAUUCCCGGUGUAGCGGUGAAAUGCGUAGAGAUCGGGAGGAAUACCAGUGGCGAAGGCGGCCUUCUGGACUGACACUGACGCUGAGGUGCGAAAGCGUGGGUAGCAAACAGGAUUAGAUACCCGGUAGUC